UUGGCUGUGCGGGGCGGCCCGCCCGCCUGUCUGCCCGCCCGUCCGCCUGGCCGGCCGUGGGAGCUGCCAGCAACUCGCCCUCCCGCUGCCCACAGGCCCUGCCAGGCUGGGCGCAAGAAAGCGUGUUUACUAACACCGUCCACACGGCUCCCUGGGCACCGCGGCUCUGCCCAGAAGAUGUCAGGCCGAGGGCACCGGGAGCGAUUCCUGGUGAAUGCAACUCUACAGGGUUUGGUCAACUCUCUUCUGUUGCUGCCUUCACUCAGGUUUCGUGCCUCAAAUCUGAUCUGGGCUGUGGACCUCGAGGUUGCCUGUGUCCCGAGGAAAGAGAAUCUCUGGCCUCAGCAACUGGAUGGGGAGAAUAACUUUGGGAGAUUUCCAGGUUCCUGCGUGGUCACCUGCGGUCCCCUUGAGGCCAGCCCUGCCGUGUACAGACCUAUAGAGCAUAAGGCUCUAGGGUGAUGCAGAGGGCUCCCCUAUGGGCAGACCUGAUAAGAGUAGACUCUCUGCAGCAGAAGUGACCGACCUGGGUUUGGAGACAGGAAAGUGAGACCCGGUUUCUGAGACCUUCCCAGGGCGACCAGCCGCGGACCAGAAAACUCAGCUCUAUUCGACCGAGAAACUCACCUCUCUUUCCCGAUUCAUCCUCUCCCCCCAGAUUUCGGGGUGUCUCUUCUAAACUGCGACCUUCAGAACCAGUUGCCACUGGCGAAGUCAACAAAGGCGUCCUUAAUGACUCCACUCCACAACCACCCCAGGCUGCCCCAUCCCUUUCUGGCAAUCAAGAGCAGCCUCCUGCCUCUAAGCCUCCACGUCGGCCUGUCCCUAGCUCAUUUCUCAGGUAACUGCUAGGAGAAGAAUCCUAAAAGGCACAUUGCUGAGAAAUGAAAUGGAAGAAAAUAAUAAUGUAAAGAAAGAUGAAGGCAUGAAAGAUAAUAGCGACCCAGCAUGUUUGAUGUGACCCCCACUUACGGGAAAUCAUAUAGGUGAGCACAUCUAUGUCUAAGAACAUUGAGAUGCAUGGAGAGAGACAGAGACAGACGGAGACAGAGAUUUAGGCUUAUGUCUCGUGUUGUGGAUGCCAUUGAUGUGUAGUCAGGCACUAAGUUCACCUGAGGAACAAGCCAAACAUGAUUCUUUUCCAGUUGCGAGUCAACAACCUCCCCCGUGUUGGUGGUGGGGGUGUGUGUGUGCAUGCGUGCGUGUGUGUGCACGCACGUGUGUGGUAAACGUCGGAGUAAAAGAGAAAGCCACGGAAGGAUCUAUUCCAGGCUGUUAACAGCAGUGAUCCAGGGUUGGGGGAAGAACGGAGGGAGAGUCGGAGACAAAAGACUGGCUUUUUCUAAUUUAUCUUUAUAUCAUUUCACUUGUUACAACACACACACACACAUAUACACACACGUUACUUCAGCAACUUAAAGCUAACUAAAUUUUUCAAAGACCCAAAUCUGAUUAUGUCUCUUGUUACUUAAUAUCCUUCAAUAGCUCCCCAUUGCUCCUGGGAUAUCAUCCAAAUUUGACAUGGUUGGCAGGGCCUUUCAUAAUCUGCCUCCUGUCUGCUUCUGCCUCCUCACGCCUCGCCAUGCCAGGUCACAGUCUGGGCUCCAGCCAAACUGAAUUCCACUCAGUGUCUUUGCUUGGCUUCCGGCUUCACAUCACCAUUUCCUGCACCUAGAAGCCUCUCUCACAUUUCCCGCCUCGCUCCCCUCCCUGUGCGUUUCACAGAAGGGCGUCGUGGCCAUGCUGUGUUCACCGAGGGGCCACUUUCCCAGGGUGUGGGGAGGAGAGGUAGUUAGGGACGAUGUCUGACAAGAGGUUUCAACGGCACUGGGACUUGUUCUGUUUCUUGCUAGAGAGACCGACCCGCUGGAGAAUGGUGGUGGAGGAGGCUUGUGCUUUGACAUGCUUGGCCUCCCAGAUCUCCUUACCAAGGGCCCGUGCCCUCUGUUCCCUUCUGAGUGCGCAGUACCAUCUCAGAGUCCCACCGCUGGGUGAACCCAGGGUCAAGACAGGCAGUGUCUCUGGCUUCUGACACUGGUGACUUCAAUGUAAGGCGACUGUUAGUGUUUGGAAAUACGAGCCAAAGACAAGUUGAAAAAGACCCCAAAUACCCGCAAGGAGGAAAGCUUUGUAAGGACUUGGGCAGAUGGCCCCAGGAGAGAAGAGUCAGGGGCAUUUUGGUGUUUUCUGAUUGAAGAUGUGAGAAGGCUUCCCCAAGAGAAAUCACACUCCCCCAGAAGACAGGAUUCAGAGUCCUCUGGUCUUUGGCUGGUGACCUUAGACAAGCUGUUGCCCUCUCUGAAUCCGAGUCUCCUCCUCUGUGUAUUCUUUAAAAGUGCUUCCGUCUCUUAAAUUGUUAGAAUCUCUUUCCUAGAACUCACAAUUCAUCCCCAUUGUGACUGAAAUGCCAGAGUCAUAAGUGUAACAUUUUCAGUAGAAAAAGAUUAAAUUAAAACUAAUACUUCGCACUUUGAUGCACAAACCAAAAUGAUCAACAGAAUAACACAGCUUGACAGCAAAACCCAUAAUUUAAACAAAGAUGUGUGAAAUCAAGAAAUGCCGAGCUGACCUUACCCAAUUCUGUGUGUGUGCGUUUUUAAAGCACUGGUUUUUAUAUAUUUUAGCUGCUAUUAUUUGAACCAAGCUGGCAUCAUGUGUAGAAUUGGGAGUUAUUGUAGUCAGUGUAUAAACUGAAAGAAAUCAGCCCAGGGGACCCAGCUUUCAUGCUUAUUUAUGGGAAAAUGCUGUUUAA